GGGCCCGCACAAGCGGAGGAACAUGUGGUUUAAUUCGAUGAUACGCGAGGAACCUUACCCGGGCUUGAAAGUUAGUGACUGAUCUGGAAACAGGUCUUCCCUUCGGGGCACGAAACUAGGUGCUGCAUGGUUGUCGUCAGCUCGUGCCGUGAGGUGUCGGGUUAAGUCCCAUAACGAGCGCAACCCUUGCUGUUAGUUGCCAUCAGGUUAUGCUGGGCACUCUAACGGGACUGCCUCUGUAAGGAGGAGGAAGGUGAGGAUGACGUCAAAUCAGCACGGCCCUUACGUCCGGGGCGACACACGUGUUACAAUGGUAGGUACAGAGGGCAGCCACCCAGUGAUGGGGCGCAAAUCUCGAAAGCCUAUCUCAGUUCGGAUUGGAGGCUGAAACUCGCCUCCAUGAAGUUGGAUUCGCUAGUAAUCGCGCAUCAGCCAUGGCGCGGUGAAUACGUUCCCGGGCCUU
rnacentral:rRNA from 1 species